GAGAGGGUUGCUUAUGCCACAUGUUUCGUUGUGAGUGGUUAGGAAAUUGUAAAAAUAAAAACAUUUUUCCUUUUUCAUUUUUCAUUCUUCUCUCCCAGAUCGAUUCGACUUCUCUUCCUCUCUCACACCGUCGAAAUCGUAAGUAUCUUCCGCCAAAAUUGGAAUAGAUAUCAUCGGAGCUUGCUGCUAACAAAGAAAAGCCAAUCCAAUCCAAUUUAGGGUUCAACUUUACCGGAUUUAUCACGAGAUAGGGGUUUCUAUGGGGAAGACCGGGAUUGGGAGCACAGGAUGGAAGAAGAAUGGGGGUGGGCAGUUCUUUCUAGCGACGCUGCUGCUUUGGCUUGUCCCCGUCGUGUUUGAGAUUGUUUUCAAUCUCCGCACCGAGCUUCUUUGGGUUAUUUGCGGCUAAGUCUUCUUUCAAUUGAUGAAUUGGGUAGUUCGUUCGUAGAUUUCUCGUGACCCUCUUUUUCCUGCUUCACACACUAAUUGAUGCAUUUUCACUUUGUAUAUUUCAGGCAAUGAGUAUUGUCUUAUCUGGCAUACAGCCUCAUCAAAAUAUGGCUGUUACUAGGUAUAUCGAGGAGAAGAUGAACGCGGAGGAGAAAACUUCUUGGGUUAAUAACCCUAUCAAUAAAGGGUUCACAUGAACAUCUCAAAAUCACGUUAUUGGAGAUCAAGGAGAUCAGCAAUUGCUCAGGCUCAUGACUCUUUGCUCAGAAAUGCAUUGAAGGGAGAGAAGUAUAUAAAGCUUUAUAGCUUCCAUUAUCUCAUCAAUGGGUUUGCUGUGUUUGUAAGCUCACAACAGAAGGCACCUUCUCAGAUUCCUCUUCCUCAGCAGCAGCUCCAGAAGAAAAGGGUGUUGUAGGAACAGAAGGAUUUGUAGGCUUAACCAUUGCGAAAGGAGCAUACUUGUGGAAAGGCCAGUCUUGGAAUGGGAAUCUAUUCCUGAAAAAAAACAGAUAUUGCAGAGUUUGUUGCAGGCUCAUCAAUAUUGGUCAUAGAGGAAGAUGAAUCAACCUUGGGGGAUCCAGAAAAACCGUGAAGUAGUAACAAACGUGAAGUAGUAACAAACGUGAGAAAGAUUAGGCAGAGAUAAACUCUUGAGUUUGUUAUAUAUAAUUUUCAAAUUAUUAUUUAUUGAAUUAAUUUUAAAAAUUAUUAAUAUGUUUUUAAGGAA